AGAAAGUGAUUAACUCUGCGUCAGUUAGGACUCGUAAUACAACUGAUAACGAGCAAGGAGUAUAAAUAACGUUUUCUCGUUUGACAUUUGAUUUUUGAGAAAAUUGAGUUUGUGAAACUGUAGCAUACACUUUGAAUACCAAACAUCCAAUUGCAAUAAUAAAAACAGAUAUGCAGCAACGUUUGUACAGGAUGUUCCGGAACGUGUGGCCAUAACUUCACUAAUGAAUUCAAUGCACUAAAAACGACGUUCAAAAUGUUUGUCCUAUCCGACCUUGUUUCUGAAGUAUAACCAAGUUUCCAUAGUUAAACAGUUCUUGAAUGAGAGAUUUGUAAAACAUU
rnacentral:misc_RNA from 1 species